rnacentral:rRNA from 1 species
ACGUACACUCCUAGGGAGGCAGCAGUGGGGAAUAUUGCACAAUGGGCGCAAGCCUGAUGCAGCCAUGCCGCGUGUAUGAAGAAGGCCUUCGGGUUGUAAAGUACUUUCAGCGGGGAGGAAGGCGAUAAGGUUAAUAACCUUGUCGAUUGACGUUACCCGCAGAAGAAGCACCGGCUAACUCCGUGCCAGCAGCCGCGGUAAUACGGAGGGUGCAAGCGUUAAUCGGAAUUAUUGGGCGUAAAGCGCACGCAGGCGGUCUGUCAAGUCGGAUGUGAAAUCCCCGGGCUCAACCUGGGAACUGCAUUCGAAACUGGCAGGCUAGAGUCUUGUAGAGGGGGGUAGAAUUCCAGGUGUAGCGGUGAAAUGCGUAGAGAUCUGGAGGAAUACCGGUGGCGAAGGCGGCCCCCUGGACAAAGACUGACGCUCAGGUGCGAAAGCGUGGGGAGCAAACAGGAUUAGAUACCCUUGUAGUCCCAUGA